rnacentral:misc_RNA from 1 species
GGCAAGGAGGUAAAAUUCUACAAA